AAUAGAUACCCAGGUAGUCCACGCCGUAAACGAUGGAUACUAGCUGUUUGAGCGCAGGUUUGAGUGGCUAAGCGAAAGUGAUAAGUAUCCCACCUGGGGAGUACGGGCGCAAGCCUGAAACUCAAAGGAAUUGACGGGGGCCCGCACAAGCGGUGGAGCAUGUGGUUUAAUUCGAUGAUACGCGAGGAACCUUACCAGGGCUUAAAUGUAGAUUGACGUAUUUGGAAACAGAUAUUUCUUCGGACAAUUUACAAGGUGCUGCAUGGUUGUCGUCAGCUCGUGCCGUGAGGUGUCAGGUUAAGUCCUAUAACGAGCGCAACCCCUGUUGUUAGUUGCCAGCGAGUAAUGUCGGGAACUCUAGCAAGACUGCCAGUGUAAACUGUGAGGAAGGUGGGGAUGACGUCAAAUCAUCACGGCCCUUACGUCCUGGGCCACACACGUGCUACAAUGGCCGGUACAGAGAGCAGCCACUUAGCGAUAAGGAGCGAAUCUAUAAAGCCGGUCACAGUUCGGAUCGGAGU
rnacentral:rRNA from 1 species